rnacentral:rRNA from 1 species
AANUUUAGAUAUCAAUAAGCGGAGGAAAAGAAACCAACAGGGAUUGCCCUAGUAACGGCGAGUGAAGCGGCAACAGCUCAAAUUUGAAAUCUGGCUUCGGCCCGAGUUGUAAUUUGUAGAGGAAGCUUUUGGUGAGGCACCUUCUGAGUCCCCUGGAACGGGGCGCCAUAGAGGGUGAGAGCCCCGUAUAGUCGGAUGCCGAUCCAAUGUAAAGCUCCUUCGACGAGUCGAGUAGUUUGGGAAUGCUGCUCAAAAUGGGAGGUAAAUUUCUUCUAAAGCUAAAUACCGGCCAGAGACCGAUAGCGCACAAGUAGAGUGAUCGAAAGAUGAAAAGCACUUUGAAAAGAGGGUUAAAUAGCACGUGAAAUUGUUGAAAGGGAAGCGUUUGUGACCAGACUUGCGCCGUUCCGAUCAUCCGGUGUUCUCACCGGUGCACUCGGGGCGGCUCAGGCCAGCAUCGGUUUUGGUGGGGGGAUAAAGGUUCGGGGAACGUAGCUCCUCCGGGAGUGUUAUAGCCCCGGGCGUAAUGCCCUCGCCGGGACCGAGGUUCGCGCAUCUGCAAGGAUGCUGGCGUAAUGGUCAUCAACGACCCGUCUUGAAACACGGACCAAGGAGUCAAGGUUUUGCGCGAGUGUUUGGGUGUAAAACCCGCACGCGUAAUGAAAGUGAACGUAGGUGAGAGCUUCGGCGCAUCAUCGACCGAUCCUGAUGUAUUCGGAUGGAUUUGAGUAAGAGCGUUAAGCCUUGGACCCGAAAGAUGGUGAACUAUGCUUGGAUAGGGUGAAAGCCAGAGGAAACUCUGGUGGAGGCUCGCAGCGGUUCUGACGUNAA